AGUUUAGAGGAAUGAUGCUGUAAUUAAAUUAAUGGUAUAAUUAAGAAUUAAACAUGAUUGGAAAUUUAAUGUAUCAAUGCAAGGAAAAAACUGAUGAUAUGAAAUGAAAUUCCGACAGAAAUGUGUAAUAUUGGGAUUCACAUUACAGGAAAAGAUUGUGAUGAAAAGUGGAUAUUGAAAACACAACAACGAAAAUAUCAUGACAAAACAAUACAGUCUGGAAGAGGAGCCAUUAAAUGACAAUUUUUAUCAUUAUUAAUAUAAUGGAUGUGUUUUUCAGUAAAGGUCAAACACUAUCUCCUCCUAAAGGUAUUUGGAUUUUAAAUGUAUUAAAAAGUAAUAAUUUAGUACAUAAUAUUACUUAAUAGAAGAUUAGAAAGAACUCAAAUAAGUAAUAUUUUUAUUUUGCAUUAUUUUAAUAAUAAUAAAUUGCAGUAUUUAUUAUUAUUAUAGGUAUCUAUAUUGUACAGUGUGUCUCACCUAUUCGACAAAUUUUUCUAGUGCUGUUAUGAUUAUUUUUUUUUUGUUUUCAAUUGGUUUGUCUUCCUGGGAGACAUCAAUUUGGAGAAAAAUUAAAUUUUUAUUUUCAUCCCCUAAAGACAAAAAAAAACUUAAUUUAUUCACUUUAGAAAAUUUUAAAAAUAGCCAUUUUAUAAAAAAUAUUAUUCAAUAAAUGUUAAUGUAUCACACAUUAAUAUCCAAUGAAUAAUUUCUUAGUUAUAGCCAUUUUAAUUAGGCGUGAAAACAAUUAAUAUUCAAUAAAAUAGUAUGUUAUGCCAUAAGGAAUUACAAUCAACACAGUUUUUCUUUACUUUCUAUUAAAUAUUAAUUGUUUCCAUGUCUAUUUUUUAGAAAUUAAAAGACUAUAAUUAAGAAACUAUUUAUUGGAUUUGAAUUUAUGAUACAUUACAAUUUAUAGAAUAAUAUUUUUUACAAAAUAGCUAUUUUUUAAAUUGUUUUAUGUUUAGGGGAUGAAAAUAAAAAUUUAAUUUUUCUCUAAAUCAAUGUCCCCUUCAAAGAUAAACUGAGAAAAAAAAAAUCAAAAAUAAUUUAAUAUUAACAACACUAAACAUAUUAUAUACAGAAACUUACAAAGGGGAAAUAAUUAUAAUUGUUAAUUGGAAAAAAUUUUAAACUUGUGAAAAAUCAUUUUUAAUAAGAGGUUCUGUGCUACCUGUAUGCAGUUUACAAGAACACAUAGCAUAAGUUUGAAAAAUAUUAGAUUGAUCUGUCAUAUUAUUUUAACAACAUGCAUUCUAAUUAAUCAACAAAUUUUAAAAUGGUAGACCAGUACUAUACCAUAUUAUAUUAUAAAUUGAAAUAAAGUUUAAUUUAAUUAUGUAUUUUUUAACCAGUACACAUUUAAAAAGUGUUUUGCCAUACUUUAAAGUAGGUAUAUUAGGGAUUUUCCCGAUUGUUAUUGUUUCUUAAACUUUUAAAAGUGUACAAUUUAAUUGUAUACUCGUUUAACAGAAAUUCUCCCUGAAGUUAUUUGAUCAGCUGAAAAAUAACUCAAUCGCAAUGGUCAUUCAAAUACAGUUCAUAGUAACAUGUUAAUGGAUAAAUUUAAACACACCAAACCUUCAUUGGUUGCAUAUCUAAUGUAAUAUAAAGAAGAACAACUAAAAUUAAUUACACAUAACCAUGUUUUAAACAAAAAUUUUAUUUUUUGUAAAUUUUGGUAUUUUUAUCUAAUAUGUUUCUUCAAGGCUAGAUCAAAUGGUAGAAAGAGAAAAAGUGGAUCUAUUUAAUUAAAAAAAAAACUUAUCAAAAAAACUUGAAUUAAGUAAUGAAAUUGAAAAUAAAAAAAAUAUUAAUUAUUCAAGAUAAUAACAAUAAUUUGAAGAUUAAAAUAUAUUAAGAAAAAUUUAACAAAUUAUUUUUUUUAAACAUCCCAUUUUAAGAAUCUGUUUGAUUCGAUGGUACAUAUCUGUCAUGGCAUAAGUCACUGCUUCUAUAUCACCAUUCUGGUCCAUACAAAUAUUGUGUAAUGUAGCAGCAGCAUUUAUAAUUAACCCACUUUUUAAUUUUUAUGGUAAACGUCUAAAAACCUAAAUAAUAAUUUUAAUUAAAUUCUUGACUAAUAAAAAUCAAGAUACAACUUAAUAUUCCAAAUAGUUUUGCAAAAGCCAGUUCUAAAGCAAUACUAGUGCUGCUUAGUAUUUUAUUGAAAUUGAGUUGAGCUUCAGUUAAAUAUCCAUUAUUGCAGUAUGGUGUCAUCACACUUUCUGUCAAUGGAUAAGCACAAUCCAUAUAAACUUAUGUAAAACUAAACUUUUCAUACUUGUAAAUUUCAUUAUGUGCUAUAUACAAUAAGGUUAUAAAUAUUUGUUUUGUUACAUCAAUUUUUGAAUUAUCAUGAACAAAUAAAGGACCAAUGUAUUAUGUAACAUAUUAUAAUCUAAUUAACAAAUUGUACAAUAUUAUUAUGUUAGUUUAUUAAUUCAACAUAUUUAGUGCAAUAGAAUUGACUUGAUCCUGACCUAAUAUUUACUAUCUCUAAUUGUAGGUACCUACCUCAACACUUUGUCUAGUAAGUCGAAAACGACACUUAAAAGCAAAUAUUUGACAAUGUGUUACAGUUAUUUCUGCAAAAUGUAUUACUUUUGAUCUUAUUUAUCCUAAGGACUGUGUUCUUAGUAUUAUCUCAUCAAGUAUUACAGAAUUAAAUUCUCCUUCUAAAAUAGUUUCAUCUUUAUAAAAACAAUUAAAAUUAUAACAGGUACUAAAGUAUUAUUCAUACUGUCUGGGUCAAUUACUAAUAAAAUAAUAUUCUAAAUCGAUCCAGGUCAUUUGAGUUUUAAGUAGCCAGUGCAUUGAUAUAACUUGCCAGAAAAAUAUUUUUUGCAAUUAACAAUAUAUAUGUAAUUUUAUAGUGAAAUAACUAAACUGGCUUUAUAUAUUUUCUUCAAUAAUAUUUGUUUAGUGUUAUCCCGAUUUUCCCAUCUCUUUUCCAGUUUUCCUAUGUUUUAUAUUGGUUUUUUAAAUUUGAUGAGAAAACCCCUGGGAAAACCAAAAAAUGACCUCCCUAAAGUACCUAUCCACACUGAUUUCCUUUCAGAAAAGAUGUAAAAAUCUGAACAAGUCUUCUGGUAGAAAAUUUGCGCACAAAUAAUAAUAAAAAAAAUAAAAAUCUUUGUAAAACUAUUAGCUUCUUCACUCCACUUAGAAUCUAAAAUACAUACACCUAAAAAUAAAGGCACAAUAAUGAUUUUAAAUAAUGUUAAAGCUAAUGGUAAGUAGUGAACUGUGAUUUCCAUAAUCUACAAUCUAAUAUACCGAUAAUAUAAUAACACAAUUUUAUGAGGAUUCAUUCAAUAAGUCAAAAAAAAACUGAACUUAUUUGAGCAUUAUUUCUAUGUAAAUUUCUUUGUUCUUUACACCGAGUAUUUGUAUUCCAAUAUCCACCAAUGAUUUACACAAACAUACCUACCCUUGUACUUCAUGGCUUUCCAAAAUAAAUAAAAACUUUAUUAGUUGUAUAAUACACAAAUGGAAAUACUUUUAACUCAAACAAAUAUGUAAAUUACAAGAAUACAAGUUAUGUCACAUGGCUGUAUAAAACACAAAUAAAUUAGACACUGUAAACUUGUUUAAUAAUUUGUCAGAUUUACCUUCAUCAAGUAAGUUACACAGUGAUUUAUUAUUAUUAUCAUUAUAUACAGGGGGCCUAUAUACCUAGUAUACAGUUUAUGUCGUGAUACUAUAAUGUUAACAAUUUUAUAAUUUUGAUUGCGGUGUGGUAUUUUUACAGUAGCUGUGUAAAAACGAUUUACCUAUACUAUUUACAAUGGUAUUUACCUAUUUGUUAUUAUUACUUAUGUGCUGUUUUUUUUUUCAAAGUACUUAGGUAUGUACAUAAAGUGUAAAAUUAUGAUAUUUAGGUAUAGGUACCUAUUGGCUAUUCAUCAUGGCUAAAGACGAUGUAGAUUUUAUUUAGAAGAGUCUCCAGGCCUUGACUAUAGGGGGGGAGGGCGAAAUAAUUAAAUUUAAUAUGUGACAAAUUAGUUUAAUUUGUUAUAUGGUGGAUCACUGUUAUAAAUGAGAAGUUGGGAAGGUAGGAUAUUGAAAGAAAUUUAAUGUAAAUCUGUACCUAAGCAAAUUUAAGCAAAGCGCACAAAAAAUGAUUCUAAACGGAGCUCGGUUAAUAGUAUUGCUCAGAGGCGUCUGCUCAGGGGGUCAAUUCCCUUGGGGGGGGGGGGUGAAAAAUUUUUACUCUUGAAUAUCAUCGCUUUGGUCAACAAAAACUUAAAAUCUUUAUGUCUGAUGUCAUUUGAACUUAUAUUAGUUUAUAAGACAGCAGAUUUACUGUACAAAUUCAGUAAAACGGUACAAUUGAAAAGUUAAAUUAAUUUGUUUCACAUUAAAUAAAUAAUAAUAUAAAUAACAAUAAUAAUAAUAACAAUAAUAAUUAAUAAAAGUUAAAUGACUAAGUCCAAAAUACUUUUAUUUUAAGCAACGUUUUGCAAGAGGUUUUAUUAACAAUAUUUUCUAUAUUAAUGUUUUCAUUUCGAUGAAUAUUUAAAAGUGAUAAGCUAGUUAGUCUGCUCAACAUUUUUUUUUUUACUACAAAUUCAGCUUUUAACGAACCUAAUGUUAAAUUCUCAAGCAUUUCUGUUUGGUCUAAUAAUUUUAUCCACAGAGUACCUACUGAAUAAAAACGACAUACAAAACUCGCAAAAUUAAAAUGUCUAUAAAUUGCUCAACAAUUUUACCACAUCAAUUCUAAUAUAAGUUUCCUGUCCGAAUUUCAAGUCUAUACAAAUAUUUUUAACCGAAUUACAACAAAAACCAAAAUUGAAAAUAAUAAAAGUAUUAUUUUCAUACAUUUUUCCGUUUUUCUUAUGUUUUAUCCUAGGUUUUCCUGAUAUGAAAAAUGCUUGGAAAAUCAAAAAAUUACCUUCAAAAGUAUCAUUUAGUCAAUAGGUAUGCCAGUAAUUUCUUUUAAAAAAUGUACUACACUUACAUAUUGAAGCAAGAUUUUUGUAGAAAUUUUUGUCACAGCAUAAACAAAAAAAAUAAUAAAAAACAUUGCAAAUUCAAUAGGUACAUUUUUUGAAUCUUAAAUUUUAUUUAAAUUAAUCAUUUCUAAUUUUGAUUCUAAAAAUAUAUUAUUUAAUUAUAUUUUUGAAAAUUGAUUGUUCUUACUUAGUUUUCCAUGCAUAAUUAUAUUUCACCCUUGAAAGAAUAUUUAUUGAAAUUUAUAAAUGAGAAGUGUUUCAUUCUUGUUUUAAUCAAAAUAUUUCGAAAAUCCGUUAUCUUCUUUAUGUCAUUGUCAUUUGGAACCAAGUUGCAUUUGUAGUUAAGAAUUAUGCAUAUUUUUUUAACAAAAAUCAACAUCACACGUUUAUGAGGGGGGGGCGAUCGCUCCAUAUCCCCCCCCCCCUUAGAGACGCACCUGAUUUUAUUAUAAUACAACAUAAUUUAAUACAAAAUAUGGUUUUAAAUAAUCUUUUAUUAGAUAAUUUAUGAUGCCAGAGGAUAUAUUUACUGGUAAGUUAAAUAUCAAAUCAAAUUUAGUUUAUUUCAUGAUUGCUCAAUAAAUUAUUUAUAUUAUUUAUAAUAUUAGUUAUUAAACUAAUUAGUACUCCUUAAAUAUAGGUCGUACUUACCGAUGUUCUAUAACACUUGUUUUGUUUGGUUAUAUUUCAAAAUAUUUCCAUGCUCCUAAUAAUAAAUGUAAACUAUUAUUGUUGUUAUUAUUAUUAUUAAUUUUUAAGUUUUAUCUGAAAGAUAAUUUAUGGAAACAUAUUGACUUAGUAAAGUCCCUAUUGAAAAACUAAUUCAUACUUUAACGUCUUUUAUGAAAAUCCCCAACUCAUUAGCGGGAAUAAGUGUACAAAAAUAGGCAUUUCAAUAUUAGGUUAUUAAAGUAUUUGCAUUAUCUACAUACUAGCCAUUACCUAAUUAUCAAAUUAUAAUAUUUAGGUACUCAACUUUACGAUUUUAUG
rnacentral:lncRNA from 1 species